CCGCACGGGUGAGUAACACGUAUCCAACCUGCCGUCUACUCUUGGCCAGCCUUCUGAAAGGAAGAUUAAUCCAGGAUGGCAUCAUGAGUUCACAUGUCGCAUGAUUAAAGGUAUUUUCCGGUAGACGAUGGGGAUGCGUUCCAUUAGAUAGUAGGCGGGGUAACGGCCCACCUAGUCAACGAUGGAUAGGGGUUCUGAGAGGAAGGUCCCCCACAUUGGAACUGAGACACGGUCCAA
rnacentral:rRNA from 1 species